rnacentral:lncRNA from 12 species
AAAUCUCUCUAGAAUUUACUUGGAAAUAUUUCUGAGAUUUUUUUUUAGACUGACCUUUUCUUUUCUUUCUUUCUUUCUUUCUUUCUUUCUUUCUUUCUUUCUUUCUUUCAGAGAGCACAUGUAGGCAGAGAGGCAGAGGGAGAGGGAGAGAAUCUCAAGCAGACUCUGGGCUGAGUGUGGAGCCUGAUAUGGGGCUUGAUCUCACAAUCCUGAGAUCAUGAUCUGAGCUGAAACCAAGAGUCAGAUGUUUAACAGACUGAGCCACCCAAGUACCCCUGAGAUGUUUUUAAUUGGACUUUUCUUCACAAAUGGAGUGGGAAAUAACACCUCUGAGUGAAGACGGAAAAAGAGGUCCUGAUUAUUAGGUGAAUUUGUAGCUGUCCCUCAGACCUUCUCUGGAUGACGCAACACAACCAACUCUGAUGUCAACCCUGAGAAUUUUGCUGAUUUUCCAAAAAGGGAGUCAGCCAGAACCUAUUCUUGACCGCUUUGAGUCAGCAUGGGACAAUGCAAAGAGCGUGGAUCCUGAGAUGAGCCAGGCUGACUGAAGUCUGAGACCCAGCUUUGCCGCUUACCGUGUUUUAGGCUUUCUGAUGUGCAGUAUUUCUUUCUGUAAAAUGGGAAUGGUGAUUUCUACCCUGUAUGGUGAUUGGGAGGAUUCAAAUAAUAUCUAGAAAGCACCUAACAGAAAGUCUGGAAGAUCUCAGGCAAGCAUCAAGUAGUAGCUACAAGUUUUGGAUUUAAAGGGAUUUACAAAGUCAAGUUUGCAGGCCAGUGAAAUCUCCUAAAUUCUACCCUUACUAAAUUUAUUAGGUUUUGCCAGACUUUUAGAAGCAUUGGUGUGUAUAUGAUAGAUGUGCUUUAUUUCUACCCCCUCUCAAUUCAGUUUAUAUUACGACAUCAUGAAAAAAAUGUGUGAUUCAUCUAAUAGUCACAUUAGUCCUGGAGAAUGAUUCUUAAAAUUAGUAUCCCUCAUUCUGUUAUUUAUAUAUCUUAAAAUCUCUACCUGUAUUUUCUCUCUUUAGCUACCCAUA